rnacentral:lncRNA from 1 species
GACAGUCUGCGGGCAGGUAGGGUCUCAGCCUGCGUACCAGAUGGAGCUGGUAGACAGCUGCCCUGGACAUAGAAUUGACCUGCACCUCCAUGGACAGCUGUGAGUCCAGAAUGACUCCCAGGCUGUGCAACUGGUCCUUCAGGGGCACAGUUGCUCCAUUCAGGACCAGGGAGUCCCCCACACCCGCCCUGUCCCCCAAGAACAGUACUUCUGUCUUGUCAGGAUUCAACCUCAAUCCGUUAGCCGCCAUCCAUCCUCCAACCACCUCCAACCCUCAGAAAGUUCUUCCUGAUGUUUAAUCUUCCUUGAUUUACCUUUGGAGAACCCUCAAGCAAGACCCCGGCACAAGAGCCCUCUACCCUCCUGUAAAGUAAAGGUGGUGAACGCCGCUGCUCAUCUGCUCUCAAGUCUGCCGUGCUGUGUCUCCCCCACCAUCUGAGGCCAUUUCCUCUGGGGAUCUUGCCUUCUUCCAUCAGUUGUUGGCUCUGGAAUCCUGUAGCUUGUGCAGCUGCCUUGACAAUCUUUCUCCUAGAGGCCGUAGUCAACAGACACACACAAAAACCCACUUUGGAUAAUUGUUGUGACGCUCUCCUUUCUCCUUGCUGGGAUAGAUGCUUUGGGGUGAUUUUAUUGCAUGUGGUGAUUUUAGGGGUCGUUGCUAUUAAAGUUAACCAUUGCUUAGCACUAAAGAAGAAGAAGAAGAGUUUGGAUUUGAUAUCCCGCUUUAUCACUACCCGAAGGAGUCUCAAAGCGGUUAACAUUCUCCUUUCCCUUCCUGCCCCACAACAAACACUCUGUGAGGUGAGUGGGGCUGAGAGACUUCAGAGAAGUGUGACUGGCCCAAGGUCACCCAGCAGCUGCAGGUGGAGGAGCAGGGAAGCGAACUCGGUUCACCAGAUUACUAGUCUACCGCUCUUAACCACAACACCACACUGGCUCCCGCUAAAGAGCGACUUUGCAGGGGUUGCAAAGAGGACAGCCCCGGAGCCCAGACGCCCAAAUUUGUGGAGGACAAAGCUCUCAGCAGCAGCUAGCUAUGAUGGCUAUGUUCUGCCUUCUCAGUCGAAGGCAGGAUGCAUCUGAAGAUGACUUGCGGGGAAUGUGGGGAGUGUGCUGCUUUUGAACUCAGAUCCUGCUUCGCACUGGGGGCAUCUUGUCUGGCCAAACUGAGAACAGGAGUCAGGAGCCAGAGUCAGUUGCCUACCCACCACUCUCUAAGGCUCCUCCUCUCCAGGUGUUGUUUUUUUUAAAAAAAUUAAUUUUUCACAAAUAAAAAAAAAUACAAUUUUUUAAUAUAGAUCGUAAAUUACUUUACCUACCAUCUUCCCGUCCUCCCCUUCCAUGGUUUCCAUAUUUACCCUUGAAUGCUGCAUAUUUCACACAGACUAUUCAAUACAUCCAUUUUAACCUAUUGCUUUUAUUGUUGUUGGCCUGUCUGAGCCCAGCUUCGGCUGGGGAAGGCAGGAUGAUAUUAUUAUUAUUAUUAUUAUUAUUAUUAUUAUUAUUAUUAUUAUUAUUAUUAUUAUUAUUUUGAUUAAUAACGCUGUUGCUCAUGUUUCAAGUCUUGCUCACGUUUUCAUCUCACUAUGGUGGUUCUUUAAAUACUCAAUAAAAGGUCUCCAGUCCUCAAGGGGUUUUUCGUUGUUUUGGUCUCUAAUCUUCGCUGUUAAUCUUGCCGGUUCCACAUACUCUCCCAAGGUUUCCCCCCUCCCCCAAGCGCAACCAACAGCGGCAAGAGUCUUGAUAGCACAAGGAUGGAAGAAUGAGGAAAUCCCAACGAAUGAACAGUGGCAAGAGAAAUUGA